CCCUAAAAUGUGUAAAAUGAAGUUGCACCCUGACCACCUUGGACAUAUGUUCUCAGGACCUCCCGGGGGCUGCAUCAUGGGCCAUGAUCACUCAGGUUUGGUUCAGAAUAACUCUCUUCAAAUAUUUUACAGAGUUUGACUCUUUUUUGUCAACACUUUGAGCAUCCCCUUGACUGUGCUGUAACUGGAGAUGGACACCCGCUCGCCCCUCAAGGACCGCAUCGCUCUCCAGCACUCCUCCUCUUCUUAUAACUUUUGGUGAUUUCCGUUUCCAGGGGGUGAUCCCUGCAAAACCCUGGCCUGCUCUCCUUUCAUGGUCUUGACCUCAAAACUACCCCAGCCCUCCUCUCCCAUGGCCACACCCUAGAUAUUGUGGCCCAUAACCAUAAAGUCUUCUCUCUCCACGAAGACAAUUCCGAGUGGCCAACCAGCAGCAGGAGUAUUGCCAUCUUGGAUAAGCACUGGUCAGCAUGACCAAAACCCACAAAUAACAUCUCAGACCAGAAACAUUCCAAACCCCUCCCUCACCAGAGGCUUGCCAGCCCCGAGAUAACCUCCCCUCCGGCCAGAGAUAUGUCAGCCCCAAAGCUGCGUUUUGUGUUUCUUUCCUCUUUCUUUAACACUUACACUCCUGAUUGUGUCCAGCUGACUUCUGCAGUGCCUCACCUAAACAUUCCUUCAAUGGCUGGGCUUACACUCCACUGAUCCCUCCACAUUUUCACUGUGGUCACCCCUCUGUCCUCCCUCCUCCCUCCCAGGUAUUAUGGUGGGCACCAAACAUUCUCAGCAGCAUAUGCCAGUUCCUCCAAGUCUUCUCUUCAUUAGACCAACGUCCCCAGGCCCCCAGUUUUCCCCAACAGGAUAUGGACCACAGAUCAGCCAUGUCCUAGCAUCUUCACCUGGUGCUUCUGUCCAUCUGUCCAUGUCUUCUUGUCCCUGGAAAGCAUGUUCUCUGAGAGCAGAGAUUGUGUUUCCUGCAUCUCUGUCUCCUGUUGCCCAGCACAGAAUUGGUGCUCAAUGAAGAUUUGUCCAUCCAGAUGAAGAAUGGAUGGGUGGCUGGAUGGGUACCACAAAGCCUCUGGUGACGGUGGAGCAAAGGAAUAGAUGGUGAAUGUCUCAUACCCACUUCGGAUCCAGAACAGGCCUAGGAGAGACUCAGGGACACGGCUUCCCCUGAACGCGGAUCCUAGAGGCCAGGCAGAAGCAGCAUGGGUUUCCACUCACACGGUAGGCGGCUGUGCAAUUUCGUCUGGAGUCCCCAGACCCCUCCUCAUCCUUCCCAGGGUUGCUCUGAGGCCAUUCCUUGUCAUCUAGGAGGGGUCUACAUAAAAGCAUUUAUAAACACCUCCAAAUGGGAGCCAGGCGUGCCCACCUUUGGAGCACUUUUCUCUACUGCAAAUUUAUCUACUGCUCGUGAAAUCUCUGGAUUUAACUCUGAUGAAAGACUGGAGGCUGAAGGAGAACUUCAAUAUCAUAUAUUUUAAAGGUUGAUUCACAGUUUGGAGCAAGAAUUAAAGAACCACGAACUUCAAGGUAAAACGGGCAACGGCGUUGGGGCAAGCCUCUCUGCAUCUGCGUGUCCAGCCUCUCCUGCGUGCCAGAAGUUCCCAGGCAGGAGUGUGGUGGGACAUCCGGCUGGGGUAAGGACAGGCACCCUCCCACUGUGUCAGGGCCCAGAGAGUGGGUGGAGAAGCUCUGCAAGAGACCUGUGCAAGGGCGCCUUGCAGGAGCCUGCAGUCCCCACAGGUGUGUUUGUGGAUAACACUUGGGGAGCCCUGGCCUUUUGGGGUCACGGAGGGCUUGGCCUCUCACCUCAGAGCUGCAGAGAAGCCGCUUCUACAUCAGGACAUCAGAAGCUGGAACAGGAUGGCCGGCGAGGGGCCUCUUGUUGGGGUCACAGAGAUGGGUCGCAGAGAUGGCCCGUGUGGAAGGUUGGAUUCUCACCCCACCUCUGCCCCUAGAUGUCCUGGUGACCCUCCCCUCUGUAGUCUUGGUUUUUUGCAAAACAGUUAUGACCUCCUGCCAUA
rnacentral:lncRNA from 1 species